UGAGAAGUUCGCCGGAAUCGAAA
rnacentral:siRNA from 1 species